rnacentral:rRNA from 1 species
GAUGAACGCUGGCGGCGUGCUUAACACAUGCAAGUCGAACGAUGAAGCUCAGCUUGCUGGGUGGAUUAGUGGAGAACGGGUGAGUAACACGUGAGUAACCUGCCCUUAACUCUGGGAUAAGCCUGGGAAACUAGGUCUAAUACCGGAUAGGAGCGCCUACCGCAUGGUGGGUGUUGGAAAGAUUUAUCGGUUUUGGAUGGACUCGCGGCCUAUCAGCUUGUUGGUGAGGUAAUGGCUCACCAAGGCGACGACGGGUAGCCGGCCUGAGAGGGUGACCGGCCACACUGGGACUGAGACACGGCCCAGACUCCUACGGGAGGCAGCAGUGGGGAAUAUUGCACAAUGGGCGAAAGCCUGAUGCAGCGACGCCGCGUGAGGGAUGACGGCCUUCGGGUUGUAAACCUCUUUCAGUAGGGAAGAAGCGAAAGUGACGGUACCUGCAGAAGAAGCACCGGCUAACUACGUG